rnacentral:rRNA from 1 species
UACGGAGGGUGCAAGCGUUAUCCGGAUUUACUGGGUUUAAAGGGUGCGCAGGCGGAUAUGUAAGUCAGUGGUGAAAUCUCCGGGCUUAACCCGGAAAUUGCCGUUGAUACUAUAUAUCUUGAAUGCUGUGGAGGUAAGCAGAAUAUGUCAUGUAGCGGUGAAAUGCUUAGAGAUGACAUAGAAUACCAAUUGCGAAGGCAGCUCGCUACACGAAGAUUGACUCUGAGGCACGAAAGCGUGGGGAUCAAACAGG